rnacentral:rRNA from 1 species
CAGAGGUCCCAAGCGUUGUUCGGAUUUACUGGGCGUAAAGGGUGCGUAGGCGGUUGUUUAAGUCUGACGUGAAAUCUCCGGGCCUAACCCGGAAACUGCGUUGGAUACUAUUCAACUAGAGGAAUGGAGGGGAGACUGGGAUACUUGGUGUAGCAGUGAAAUGCGUAGAUAUCAAGUGGAACACCAGUGGCGAAGGCGAGUCUCUGGACAUUUCCUGACGCUGAGGCGCGAAAGCCAGGGGAGCAAACGGGAUUAGAUACCCCGGUAGUCCUGGCCCUAAACGGUGCGCGUUUGCAGUAAGUGGAAUCGACCCCACUUGUGGCGUAGUUAACACGUUAAACGCGCCGCCUGGGAAGUACGGCCGCAAGGUUA